rnacentral:lncRNA from 1 species
AAAUGAUAAGGAUGUGUCUCUCAAUUUCCAACAUUACCCCUCUCUUCACAACAUUAUACCAAACCCCAAGUUAUGUAACAUUAGCUUCAUAGUCUUAAGUAUCAGAAGGAGUAUUGUGUUUUCCUCUAAAUCAACCAUCAUUAUUAUUCAUUCAAAACAACUGUCUCAAACUCAAGAGUCUCAAACUCAAAAGUCUCAAACCAAGAAUCUGAUUGUCUUAAAACUAAAGUAAGAAAAGUCAAUGUGUUUAAUGCUUUGACCAGCAAGUUCAACAGCUAAAACAGACAGGACAGACCUAAGAGAAAAGAAAAAGAUUAAAAAAAAAAACACAGUUCUGUUUAUUACCUUUGACUAAGGUGGAGAAGUUCAGAUGAAGAAGAGUUGGAAGGGGCAGAGAAGAAGAACGAUCCUCCUUGAC